CUGAGCUUCGGGGGCCCUCUGUUUUCUCUUGGCUCCAGCAGCUGACACCACAGGCUCCAGAGAAGCCCACAACUCAUCAGUCUCUGUUUCUUCAGGAGGGCCUGGGGCAGGCUCCUGGGGCUCAUCCUGGUUUCCUCACCUGUAAAAGGGGCUAUAGAGGGAGGGAGAAGUUGACCCCAUUCGGUCCAAGAUCUACCAAGAGCUCAAGAAUCUGUCUGGACCACCUUCCUCUACACUCAUCUCGAGAUAAACUCACACACCAAUGAAUGCUUCUGACUCUCCAUCAUCAGACAGAAAGUGGUCAGUGAGCUCUGGUCUUUCUUUCAGCCUGCAAAUAUACUCACCCCAAACUCUGCA